AGGGGUUUAGUUUAGCUGGCAGAACGCCUGCUAUGAAAGCAGGUAGUGAAGGUUCGAGUCCUUCAACUUCUA
rnacentral:tRNA from 1 species